UUUCCAUCGAUCAUCGGUUGAAUCCACAGAUUUGGAACCCACAUAUUCAAAAUGUCGACUGUAUCUAAAAAUGAAACUAUUUAAAAGAAACCUGGAGAAACCUCAACUGGAACGUCAAGUAAGCAGAUUCCAGCUCUCUGGGCCCAGGGUGAGAAAAGGAAGUUGUAUGAAAAGAGGAGAAAGGAAAAAAACAGUCUCGUAUUGUGCAACAGGUGAAGUCCCACAUUGCCCCACUUCGAGGAUUCCAUUCUGCCAUUUGUAAUUCCUGGGCAGACAGAGCUGAACGAAGCCCCAUCCCUGCCCUCGAAGAGUUCCAUGUCUAGUGAUGGCACUGACAGUGACAGAAAUAACUAUCCCAUGAGGAGGAAUAAGGAAGUGAGCUCCUUGAUGCAGAAACUAUGUUAUGCUUAUCUCCAUGGAGGGGAUGUGAUGAGUAAUAUGGACUCAAGGUGUAGACCCCUAUAUAGCUAAAUGAGUAAACCAAGUACGAAUGAACUGGUUGUUCUGACAUUCCACCCAAAAGGUGAUUCCUCAGCCCUGCUAGUGUGGUACUUCCCCUUCUCCCCC